GAAGGCGAUUCAUUUUGGCAAACAGUAGCCUCAAAACUUUUUCCUUCUGUUCCCAGGUCAGAUCUCCAAUAUCCACCUUCUCCGUAUUGACGUUGGUCCUAAAGGAUCGGGGCAGAGGAAAAUAUCGGCGCAGGCCUUCUGGAGCCGAACGUUUUCCCUGAAGACGGAUCUCCCGGCGUUAUCCAGCUGCCUGCGGCGGAUAAACGUUCACGCGACUCAUCCGAUGGCCUGGACGCUUCCCGGGCCCCAUUCCCAGCUCGGGACGGAGGUCGGGCCUUCGGGUCAAGCGCGCCGCACACGGGAAGCGCUCGUCGUUGCUGAAAGGGAGAAAAAGCGGCUUUCAAUCCUUAAAAGCAGCUCACGCCCUACACCAAACGGGCCUCUUUCUGCAGUCCGUCGCGGCACAGACGAGGAAAGUCAAAGGAGGGGAAGAAAAAGGGGCCGAUGAGGUAACUGAGGCUCGGAGAAGUUAAG